UGUGGACGACAUCAAACUCCAGCAAUGGAUUGUUGAUGUCCAGCACUGGCCAUAUGCUACCACUGUCUUGGAGGAAGAGUCGGUGGAAGGAAAAAUCGAGGGGCUGUACCUCAGCAUUCGCCAACGAAAGCAAAAUCUCUACAGACAGACUGACACCAACAAAAGGAGACAUGCCAUCCGUAAAAAAAUUGUUCAAGAGAAAAAGCAUUUACAGAAUGCCAUGGAUCAGCUGGACGAAGCACUGAAAAUACAGUUACCACCUCUUGACGAGUUGCUUAUAACUGACAAUUUUGUCUGGCCCUGGGAAAGCCUUU